rnacentral:rRNA from 1 species
AACGCGAAGAACCUUACCUGGGCUUGAACUACUCGUGGUAAGCCGAUGGAAACAUUGGCUGACCCGCAAGGGAGCGAGCAGAGGUGCUGCAUGGUUGUCGUCAGCUCGUGUCGUGAGAUGUUGGGUUAAGUCCCGCAACGAGCGCAACCCCUACUCGAUGUUGCUAAUCCCGCAAGGGAUGCACUCUUCGAGAACUGCCUUCGAUAAGAAGGAGGAAGGUGGGGACGACGUCAAAUCCUCAUGGCCCUUAUGUCCAGGGCUACACACGUGCUACAAUGGCCGGUACAACGGGAAGCAAUACCGUAAGGUGGAGCAAAACCCUGAAAGCCGGCCCCAGUUCAGAUUGUGGGCUGCAACUCGCCCACAUGAAGGCGGAAUCGCUAGUAAUCGCGAAUCAGCAGGUCGCGGUGAAUACGUUCCCGGGCCUUGUA